rnacentral:pre_miRNA from 1 species
ACUAGCAAGAGCCAUGCCUCUGCCCAGGCAGGUGACUGCCUGGAAUUGGGCAUAAAUGCCCAAUUGGACUCCCAAGUGCCCAAUUCCAGGCAAGCCCCUGUCUGGGCAGGAGCAUGAUUUCUUCCAG